GGGUUCCACCACAGCUGUGGAGACCUGAGGAGCUGGGUAGAUAGCAAACUCUAGUUUAGACUUUUUUCCAUAAUCCACAGAGAGGCGCUCCAUCAGCAAAGAUGUAAAGCCAGAGCCGGUGCCCCCUCCAAAGCUGUGGAAGAUGAGGAACCCCUGCAGUCCAGAACAGGCAUCAGCCUGAAAGCCAACAGAAGAAAAGAAAGAUGAUCAGCUGUUCUGGGUGGAAAAGCUGCCGGUAGGUGCCGGUUCGUACUUCGUCUGAACAAGAGGAAAAAAGAGUUGUAUGCUUAGAAUUAUAAGCUUAGAAGAGAUGGUUCACCAAAGUUAAUAACAUUUGCAAAACAAAUGGAACAUUUUACACAUGUUGGCAAACAUGUGCUAUGGAAUAUCUGCAUGGGGGUAAGCGGCAGGAUGAUGAUGACAAGUACAGAGGUAAUGAGCAGUGUCUGGGAUGAUCUCAGUUUUGACCAAAGAACUGGGCUCCUAUCUGAGUGUAAAUGGUUGUGCUGUACAAAUAAAUUAAUUUAGUAGAUGAGGUUUGUGCCAUGGUGUGAUAAAAUUUCAGCUUUUCCAACUGAUUGGAUGUAGAUUGAUCAGAACCUUCAAGGGAAUUAUUAGAAGAGAUAAGGCGUGCAGGAAAAACACGUCUGUCAGGACACUCCCACUUCAUUAUUCACGUUCUUGUUUUCCACAUGAAUGUGAAGAAAACAAUACUUUCUUUAAGAAAGUCAAAUUGUAUUCAACCAGUAUGGGUUUGGAGAGUAGAAAACUUUUUAUUUUAGUAUCAGUUAAAGCAUCCAUGACAGAGCGUAGUUAGUUUUCACCUUUUCAUUGGGAGUCACAUCUUUUAGUAAUACGUGCUAUUAAAACCUCUAAACGUAUCAGUUCUGUCUGGAUGCUGGGAUCAUCCCUAAAGGUGAAGACACAGGCCAUUCAGUGGUCUGAACUUCAGCACAGAGAAGAGUUAAUUCAUUUCAG